ensembl:lncRNA
ACGAAGUCGACAACGACGGCAGAGGCGGCGGGGUCGGCGCGCGCAUGGGCAGUAGACCGCAACGGAGGAGCCUGCCUGCUCUGUUUCAUGACAGCGGACGGGGGAGCCGCUGGUGUGUUGAAAGGAGCCGAGGAGGAGGAGGAGAGAAGAGAAUCUGUUUCUGUUGCGUGUGGACCACAGCUUGCUGCAGCAGGGGGGGCAACGGACGAGUCUCAGCCAAGGGAGACAAAAAAAACCUCCAGUCAGUCAGGAAGCCAUCACGUAAAGCAGAGACUAAAAACAUAACCUGGAGGAUAUCGCUGCCCUUGAUCGCCAGACGCCUACUCACUGCUGACUGAGGAAAUCAGAGUCCUGAUACACACUCUGGCUCACCCUCCGGG